UCUUUGUUGUUGUUUUUUCUCUGAUCUCCUAUUAGAGCAUAAAAUUAAGCAAUCCAAAGAGUUUAUGCUUUUCUGAUGGGAAGUGAGUAAAAAAGAUUAUAAGAUUUAAAAACUAGGGGCAUGGGGUGCGUGGGUGGCUCAUCAGGGGAGCAUGCAAUUCUUAAGCUCAGGUUUGUGAGUUAGAGCCCCACGUUGGGUGUGGAACCUACUUUAAAAAAAAAAAAA